UACGUAGGUGGCAAGCGUUGUCCGGAUUUACUGGGCGUAAAGGGUGCGUAGGCGGAUGUUUAAGUGAGAUGUGAAAUACCCGGGCUUAACCUGGGUACUGCAUUUCAAACUGGAUAUCUAGAGUGCAGGAGAGGAGAAUGGAAUUCCUAGUGUAGCGGUGAAAUGCGUAGAGAUUAGGAAGAACACCAGUGGCGAAGGCGAUUCUCUGGACUGUAACUGACGCUGAGGCACGAAAGCGUGGGUAGCAAACAGG
rnacentral:rRNA from 1 species